UCUGGCGUAGCCGGCAGGUGAUUUUGCAUGUCCGGUGGUGGUUCCGGCGAGUCGAGCUGGUUGUUCCCAGCAUGUCCGGCAGGUGGUUCCGGUCUGUCCGGCAGGUGGUUCUGGCGUGUCCGGCACGAGGUUCUGGCACGUCUGAGAGGUGGUUCCGGCAUGCCCGACAGGUGAUUCCGGAGUGUCCGCCACGUGGUUCUGGCGUACCCGGCAGGUGAUUUUGGCGUGUCUGGCAGGUGUUUCUUGCAAGUCGAGCAUGUGGCUCAGGCAUGCUCAGCACGUGCUUCCGGCGUGUCCGGCACGUGGUUCUGGUGUGUCUGAGAGCUGGUUCUGGCAUGUCCGGCAGAUGAUUCCGGAGUGUCCGCCAAGUGGUUCUGGCAUACCUGGCAGGUGAUUUUGGCGUGUCAGGUAGGUGGUUCCGGCGAGUCGAGUAGGUGGUUCCGGCGUGCUCGGCAGGUGGUUCAGGCGGGUCUGGCAGGUGGUUUCGGUAUGUUCGGGAUGUGGUUCCGGCAUCUCAGGCACAUGGUUCUGGCACGUCUGAGAGGUGGUUCUGGACGGCCCGACAGGUGUUUCAAUGGUGUCCGCCAAGUGGUUCUGGCAUAGCUGGCAGGUGAUUUUGCAUGUCCGGCGGUGGUUCCAGUGAGUCGAGACGGUGGUUGCAUCAUGUCCGGCAGGUGGUUCUGGUCUGUCCGGCAGGUGGUUCUGGCGUGUCCGGCACGAGGUUAAGGCACGUCUGAGAGGUGGUUCCGGCAUGCCCGACAGGUGAUUCCGGAGUGUCCGCCACGUGGUUCUGGCGUACCCGGCAGGUGAUUUUGGCGUGUCUGGCAGGUGUUUCUUGCAAGUCGAGCAUGUGGCUCAGGCAUGCUCAGCAGGUGCUUCCGGUGUCAUAGGCACGUGGUUCUGGCAUGUCUGAGAGAUGGUUCCGGCAUGCCUGGCAGGUGAUUCCGGAUUGUUCCCCAAGUGGUUCUGACGUAGCCGGCAGGUGAUUUUGCAUGUCUGGCGGUGGUUCAUGCGGGUCGAGCCGCUUGUUCUCGGCAUGUCCGGCAGGUGGCUGCGGUCUGUCCGGCAGGUGGUUCUGGGGUGUCUGGCACCAGUUCUGGCACGUCUGAGAGUUGGUUCCUGCAUGCCCGGCAGGUGAUUCCGGACUGCGCCCCAGGUGUUUCCCGCAUAGCCAGCUGUUGACUUUGGCGUGUCCAGCAGGUGGUUCCGGAGAGUCGGGCAGGUGGCUACGGUGUGCUUGGCAGGUGGUUCCAGCAUGUCUGGCAGGUGGUUCCGGUCUGUCCGGUAUGUGUUUCCGGCGUGUCUGACACGUCCUUCUGGCAUGUCUGAGAGGUGGUUCCGGCAUGCGCGAGAGAUGAUUCCGGAGUGUCAGCCAGGUGGUUCUGGCGUACCCGGCAGGUGAUUUUGGCGUGUCAGGUAGGUGGUUCCGGCGAGUCAAGCAGGUGGUUCCGGCGUGCUUGGCAGGUGGUUCAGGCGGUUCUGGCAGGCGGUUUCCGUCUGUUUGGGUUGUGGCUCCGGCAUCUCAUGCACAUGGUUCUGGCACGUCUGAGAUGUGGUUCCGGCCGGCCCGACAGGUGUUUGGGCAGUGUCCGCCAAGCAGUUCUGGUGUAGUUGGCAGGUGAUUUUGGCAUGACCGGCAGGUGGUUCCAGCAAGCCCGGCCCGUGAUAACGAAGUGUUCACCAACUGGUUGUGUCGCAGCCGGCAGGUGAUUUUUGCGUGUCUGGCAGGUGGUUCUGGCGAGUCGAGCAGGUGGUUCCAGCGUGCUCGGCAGGUGCUUCCGGGGUCAUUGGCACGUGGUUCUGGCAUGUCUGAGAGGUGGUUCUGGCAUGCCCGGCCGGUGAUUCCGGAGUGUUUGCCAAGUGCUUCUCGCAUAGACUUCAGGUGAUUUUGUAUGUCUGGCAUUGGUUCCGGAGGGUCGAGCCGGUGGUUCCUGCAUGCUCGACCGUUGGAUCUGGCAGGUCCGGCAGGUGGUUCCGGUCUGUCCGGGAGGUGGUUCCGGCGUGUCUGGCAUAUGGUUCCGGCACGUCUGAGAGGUGGUUCUAUCAUGCCCGGCAGGUGAUUCCAGAGAGUCCACCAACUCGUUCUGGCGUAGCCGGCAGGUGAUUUUUGCGUGUCCAGCAUGUGGUUCUGGCGAGUCGAGCAGGUGGUUCCGGCGUGCUCGGCAGGUGCUUCCGGGGUCAUUGGCACAUGGUUCUGGCAUGUGUGAGAGGUGGUUCCGGCAUGCGCGGCAUGUGGUUCCGGCGUGUCUGGCAGGUGCUUCUGGUCUGUCCGGGUGCUGGUUCCGGCAUGGCCGGCACGUGGUUCUGGCACAUCUGUGAGGUGCUUCAGGCGUGCCUGGCAGGUGAUUCCUGGGUGUCUGCCAAGUGGUUCUGGCGUCACCGGCAGGUUAUUUUGGUGUGUCCGGCAGGUCUUUCCUGCUUUUUGCGCUCAUGGCUCUGGCUUGUAAGACAGAUGCUUGUGGCACUUCUGGCCCCCGUUCUUUCAUACUCAGCUGGUUUCAGAGUUUCUGGCUCCUGUUUGUGGCAUAUCCAACAGGUGUUUACAAUGUGUCUGGCAUGUCGUUGUGCUAUGUUUGGAAUCUGGUUCCGUCAUGUCAUUGUGUGCGGCUGGCAUGUUGAAGAGAUGGUUCUGCAGUGUCAGAAUCACUGUUCCACUGUGUCCGGCAGGUGGUUACAGGUGGUUCUGGCAUGCAACGUGCGUGCUUCUGGUAUGCCUGUUGGGUCAUACUGGCAUGAAUGUGUGGCCCUUUGAGAGUGUGCAGAGGGUGUUUUUGGCAUGUCUCCCGGGGUUUUCUGGCACAUAAGGGGCAUGAUUCCUUUUUAUACGUCAGGUGAGUUUGCUCUCAGCUUCCUAAAGAGAAGGAAGGAAGAUGGUCUGUGGCUUGUGGCCCCUUGAGGGGUGGGGCCAAUGCAUUGUGCAUUGCAAUCUAGAGCAAUGGAGGGUAUGGCUGAGAGCAAAAGGGUCUUUCUGACAUAGCUGCAUUCUGACACUCUCUCCACCAGUGCACAAUGGUGUUUGGAAAAAGGCUUACAGUCUGUCGCCUCCUGAGCAGGUGGAUGCUAAAUCAUUUGGGACUCAGCCCAGUUGCUUCAGGGGAAGAUGUAGGCAUUUCGUCUGAGCAAGGUUGGCAAGGUAGAACUGCGGCAGAAGCAGAAGUCCUAAAGCGGCGAGUUAAGCGCUGGGAAGAAAUGGCAUUUGAGCUGACUUUGUAUGAGAGAUUCCUCGUAUGUUGUACAACACUGUGGAAAGCGAGUUCUUUCUCAGCUUCCUAAAGAGCUGGAGGCAAGACAGUUUAUGGCUUCUCUCUCAUUGAAGGAUUGAGGCAGUGCUUUGUGCCUUCCACCUGCAGAGCAAUGGAGGGCACGGCUGAGAGCAAAGGGGGCUUUCUGCCAUUGGUGCUUUCUGAUACCCUUCAGGGGUGGUGCCAGUGCCUUGUGCCUCCUACCUCUAGAGGAAUGGAGGGCAAGACCAAGAGUAAAGGGACUUUCUGAAAUUGGUGGUUUCUGACACUGCCCCAACCAUUGCUCAAGGGCGGUUGGUUAAAAGCCUAUUGUCUGUCUCCUCCUCAGCAUGUGGAACCACAAUCAUCCGGGCCUCGUCCCCAUUGCUCAAGGGGAAGAUGUAGGCAUUUCGUCUGAGCCGGGUUGGCAAGGUGGAAAUGCGGCAGAAGCGGAUGUUGCAGAUUGGCGAGUUAAGGGCUGAAAAGACACGGCAUUCAGCUGCCUUGCUAUGAGAUGUUCCCAGGACGCUGUAAGAGCACUGUGGAAUGCGAGUGCUUUCCCAGCUUCCUAAAGAGCUGGAAGCAGGACAGUUGAUGGCUUGUCUGCAAUUGAAGGAUGGAGGCAGUGCUUUGUGCCUUCCACCUCUAGAGCAAUGGAGGGCACGGCUGAGAGCAAAGGGACCUUUCUGACAUUGGUGCUUUCUGGCACUCCCCCAACCAUUGCUCAAGGGCGGUUGGUUAAAAGCCUAUUGUCUCUCUCCUACUAAGCAGGUGCAAAAACAAUCAUUCGGGCCUCGUCCCCAUUGCUUAAGGGGAAGUUGUAGGCAUUUCGUCUGAGCCGGGUUGACAAGGUGGAAUUGCGGCAGAAGCAGAAGUCCUAAAGCUGCAAGUUAAGCACUGGGAAGAAAUGGCGUUUGAGCUGCCUUUGUAUGAGAGGUUCCUGGUAUGCUGUAAGGGGACUGUGGAAAGCGAGUUGUUCGUCAGCUUCCUAAAGAGCUGGAGGCAAGACAGUUUAUGGCUUGUUUCGCAUUGAAGGAUUGAGGCAGUCCUUUGUGCCU
ensembl:lncRNA